rnacentral:lncRNA from 1 species
AAAAUCUGCAGGGAAAUUUUGUUCCUUAGCACUGGCAGAAAUUAGGAAUAAAUUCAAUUGCAUUCUGCACAAUAGCUGGAAGCGAUUGAGGUUAAGUGGCCUCGCUCUCUGAUGUGUUAGUAUUACUGAGCACUCUCUGCCCAUGUGACUCCGUGCAAUCUGCUCUUGGAACACGUCGCCAUGGCAACUGAUGAUUUCUAUUACAGUACAUUCAAGUUCACAUUCUAGGCCUGUCAUAUGCUUGGAAAUUUCCAGUUAAAAUAUUUAUUUAUGAAAAAGGCAAAAAAAAAAAAAGCCACCCCCCCCAGACUCUUCUCAAGGAUAGAAAACAAAAAGGUAGACCCCAAUGCAGAAUGAUUUAACUGCAGACGGAAAGAGAUUAUUACAUUUUCACUUAGCUGUUGCCACCAAACAAAAAACUCCCCAUGGGGUGGGCCAACUUAGUUGCAGAGGGGGCAAGUUGGAAUCUUACCUACUGUGGUUUGUGUGCAGGUGUGAUGUCUGAGUGCAAAGCGAAAGAGUCUAAGAAUCAAAGUUUCCACUUCUCUGAGGCUCAUCGUUCCAGCUGCAGCUUCCCACUAAGGAUACCUUUGAGAUAUGCCAGUGAAUGUACCUGUAACCAGAACAGGUCUGGUUUAAAAUAUGGGCUCAUAAAAGACAGCAAGUGACUCCAGAGAAGCUUCUGUUUAUAACAUAAUUGGUAAGAAUCAUUUCUUUUAUCUAUGAUUAUAGACAUUUAUUUAACUAAACCUACUACAAACGGCUAU